GGAAAGAAAACUUCUGGGUUAAUACCCUGGGAGGCUGACGGUACCGGAAGAAUAAGCACCGGCUAACUACGUGCCAGCAGCCGCGGUAAUGCGUAGGGUGCGAGCGUUAAUCGGAAUUACUGGGCGUAAAGCGUGCGCAGGCGGUUUGUUAAGACAGAUGUGAAAUCCCCGGGCUUAACCUGGGAACUGCAUUUGUGACUGGCAAGCUAGAGUAUGGCAGAGGGGGGUAGAAUUCCACGUGUAGCAGUGAAAUGCGUAGAGAUGUGGAGGAAUACCGAUGGCGAAGGCAGCCCCCUGGGCCAAUACUGACGCUCAUGCACGAAAGCGUGGGGAGCAAACAGGAUUAGAUACCCUGGUAGUCCACGCCCUAAACGAUGUCAACUAGUUGUUGGGGAUUCAUUUCCUUAGUAACGUAGCUAACGCGUGAAGUUGACCGCCUGGGGAGUACGGUCGCAAGAUUAAAACUCAAAGGAAUUGACGGGGACCCGCACAAGCGGUGGAUGAUGUGGAUUAAUUCGAUGCAACGCGAAAAACCUUACCUACCCUUGACAUGGACGGAACCCUGCUGAAAGGUGGGGGUGCUCGAAAGAGAACCGUCGCACAGGUGCUGCAUGGCUGUCGUCAGC
rnacentral:rRNA from 1 species